AGAAUCAACGCUGGCGGCGUGCCUAACACAUGCAAGUCGAGCGCGAAUAGGGGGGCAACCCCCUUAGUAGAGCGGCGAACGGGUGAGUAACGCGUGGGUAACCUGCCCUCGAGUGGGGAAUAACCCCGGGAAACUGGGGCUAAUACCGCAUGACAUCCCUGACUCCAUGAGCCGGGGAUCAAAGCUGGGGAUCGAAAGACCUGGCGCUUGAGGAGGGGCCCGCGUCCGAUUAGCUAGUUGGCGGGUAACGCCCACCAAGGCGACGAUCGGUA
rnacentral:rRNA from 1 species